rnacentral:rRNA from 2 species
UAAGCGGAGGAAAAGAAACUAACCAGGAUUCCCCUAGUAACGGCGAGUGAAGAGGGAAUAGCCCAGCACCGAAGCCUGUGGCAGUUUUGCUGCUAGGCAAUGUGGUGUUUGGGUCGGCUCGCGGAAUUGCCACUCCACUCGAAGUCCAGCAUUGAGUAUGGUCCACUGGAUUUGGCCCAGAGAGGGUGAAAGGCCCGUACGGGUGGAGGUGUCAGACAAGUGAGGCAGUUCACUAGGCCGGCCUUAGAGUCGGGUUGUUUGAGAAUGCAGCCCAAAGUGGGUGGUAAACUCCAUCCAAGGCUAAAUACUAGCACGAGUCCGAUAGCAAACAAGUACCGUGAGGGAAAGUUGAAAAGUACUUUGAAGAGAGAGUAAACAGUACGUGAAACCGCAUGCAGGUAAACGGGUGGCGUCAAGCUGCAAGCCCAGAGGAUUCAGUCGGUUAGGGUGUAGUGUAUGCGCCUGUCGCAUCAACAAGUCGGAAUAGGAUUGGACAGUCUGCUGGAAGACAGCGGGUGCCUGCCGCAAGGUGGGUAUGUGUGUACCGGGUGGUUGCCGGAGCAUGCUGUUCGUCUGUUGGACUGCCUAGCCGGUGCACUUUCUCUGUGGUGGACACCACGACCGAUGGUACUGUCAGUCUGCUGUGGUCAAGUCGUGUUUGGUUGGUGCUAACGUGCCUACUGGAUGCGAUCACGGGCAAUGUUGGUAGACGGCGUGAGCUUCAUCUUUCAGGUGUGUUCGCGUGUUAUCGGCUGCUGCUUGUCUUAUCGGGCCUGCUUGGCAAUUGUUGUAGCCGUUGUCAGGUGGUCUGGUGGGCCAUGGUGGUAUGAAUAACUGUGCAGGGCAUCGGAGUUGUCGGCCUCAAAUGCAGUUGGCAUGCACGCUACAAGUGUGCGCGUAGUGGGUUGCGUUGCAGCCUGCCUGUUGUUGGGUGUGAUUGUCGUGUUGCCUGCGCAAAGUGGGCCCGGCAGUGGCUCGCGACAGGUCGGAGUUGUUGGCGUAGUCUGCUGUGUGUCAGCUGUGGAGGGCCUGAUAGUCGGUGGUGUAGUGGUAGACGAGCUACCCGACCCGUCUUGAAACACGGACCAAGGAGUUUAACAUGUGUGCAAGUCAUGGGGUGUAUUACGAAACCCAAAGGCGCAGUGAAAGUGAGGCCUCAAUUCGAGGUGUUGGUGAGAUCCUGUCGUUACUUGCACCGCUUUUGCUGUGUCAGCAGCAGGCAAAGAAGAGCGGCAGGCGCAUCACCGGCCCGUCCCAUGAUGUGGUCAUUGGAUU